rnacentral:rRNA from 1 species
AUUGAACGCUGGCGGCAGGCCUAACACAUGCAAGUCGAGCGGCUCGGCCGACGGGUGAGUAAUGCCUAGGUAUCUGCCUGUUAGUGGGGGAUAACGUCCGGAAACGGACGCUCACACCGCACACUCUCCGCUUCACCUAUCGGGGAUUAGCUAGUUGGUGGGGUAAAGGCCUACCAAGGCGCCGAUCCGUAGCUGGUCUGAGAGGAUGACCAGUCACAAUGGAACUGAGACACGGUCAAGACUCCUACGUGAGGCAGAAGUGGGGAAUAUUGGACAAUGGGCGAAAGCCUGAUCCAGCCAUGCCGCGUGUGUGAAGAAGGUCUUCGGGUUGUAAAGCACUUUAAGUGGGGAGGCGUUACCAACAGAAUAAGCACCGGCUAACUUCGUGCCAGCAGCCGCGGUAAUAC